UCCUUAGCUGCUGCAAAGCUCAGGGAAGAGUGUUUUUGGCAAAAAGGCUUUAAAAGUCGCCUUUCCAUGCAGUAGAAGACAUGAUACUUGUGCUGACAAGAGAGUUAUCACUAGGGAGUCAAGUGGUAUAAUGGUGCUGCCAAAGCUUGAACUGACUGGCCAUGUGAUCAGAUGAUCUCCAGUGACAAAUCAAAAGAAGGAGGGGAAAAUGUCCAUCAGGAAAUGAAAGGGCAGGCAAAACAUUACCUUGGCUUGGAAGAAGCUUUAGACCUGCAAUUUAAGGCAGCGGAACAAAUUCUCCUUUGAAUUUUUGGGACCUGGCCAACACUGGAAGUGCCAAGAUACCUUGAGAGAUGUUGCUGUUGAGAAAUUUCCAGCUGGACUCAGAAGUCUUGAGAAUCUUGAAAGACAAGCCAUUCUUUUAUUGAAUCUACUCCCAUUUGUUGAUCUCAGAGGUCUGAAUCUCACUUAUUCCAACCUAAGUCAGAAGUAGUGGUACUGAAUUCAGUAGAUGUGGCACAAGGUCAAAUCAGUGUGAGAUCUAAAUCCAGCCUUCAAAAGGUUGGAUAAAUUGUUGUAAAGAUUAUUUGAAAUUCAGCACGCUUAUCUAAACUGAAAAUAAAUGAAACGGUUUUUGAA